CCUACGGGUUGCAGCAGUGGGGAAUAUUGCACAAUGGGCGCAAGCCUGAUGCAGCCAUGCCGCGUGUAUGAAGAAGGCCUUAGGGUUGUAAAGUACUUCCAGUUGGGAGGAAGGCGUUGAUGCUAAUAUCAUCAACGAUCGACAUUACCAACAGAAGAAGCACCGGCUAACUCCGUGCCAGCAGCCGCGGUAAUACGGAGGGUGCAAGCGUUAAUCGGAAUUACUGGGCGUAAAGCGCACGCAGGCGGUUGAUUAAGUUAGAUGUGAAAUCCCCGGGCUUAACCUGGGAAUGGCAUCUAAGACUGGUCAGCUAGAGUCUUGUAGAGGGGGGGUAGAAUUCCAUGUGUAGCGGUGAAAUGCGUAGAGAUGUGGAGGAAUACCGGUGGCGAAGGCGGCCCCCUGGACAAAGACUGACGCUCAGGUGCGAAAGCGUGGGGAGCAAACAGGAUUAGAUACCCCGGUAGUC
rnacentral:rRNA from 1 species